rnacentral:rRNA from 1 species
GUCUACAACCAUACCACCCUAAACACGCCCAAUCUCGGAAGCUAAGCAGGGUCGGGCCUGGUUAGUACUUGGAUGGGAGAAAAAAUAAUAAUAACCCAAUAAAAAAGCGAGCCAAGAAC